UUUCCGUAGGUGAACCUGCGGAAGGAUCAUUAAUGAGUUGUAAUGGGGUUCGAUGCUGGCAGCCAAUUUUUGGAUGCAUGUGCUUGCCCUAACAAUCAUCUUCCAAACACCUGUGCACAUUUUUGAGGGAGUCUUGAGUUGGUUGCCGCUCUUGGGUGAUUUUCUCACAUUCCCUUAAAUCAUUAUACGCUAUUAACAAUGUUGAACGUGCUCUGUGCCGCAAGGCUAUUAAUAUAAUACAACUUUUAACAACGGAUCUCUUGGCUCUC
rnacentral:misc_RNA from 1 species